rnacentral:lncRNA from 1 species
GCAGUUUGCAGUGAUGUGGCUAAGAUACCCUUGUGCUAUUAAAGGCACAUUUACGUAUCUUUCAACGCAGUUUGUACCUUUGUUUAGGGUUCUAUUGAACUUUCUCUGUGCUCUUUAGAAAACCGUCGAAUAAAGAACUCAAAUGAUGCUGUUUUUGGACAGGGAGGUCAUGGACCAAGUACAAAGCGGCAAAAGGAUGGAAUUAAGGUACCUGACAUUGUUGAACCCAUGCCUGAUGCCACAUUAGCUCAGGACUACCUACAUGGACAUGGAUAUUUCCAGUGAAAGAAAGAAGAAAGCAUGCUUUUCUCUUGACUGUGCAGAAAAAAAAACUAUGUUUCUUUGAUUCUCCAUUUUACUAGAUGCCAUACCUUUGCAAUUACUUCAUGUGGAGUCUUGACCAAGAUUCAGGAAAUACUAGAACUUUCAGUCCCAGAAGGUUACUCUGGGCAUUACUAGUCCCCAUCAUUAUGAGUUGAGUUUUACUAGUUAAUUUCAGACGAAAAAUAUUUGUUUUUCCCCAAAUUCUGGGGUUACGUACUUUUACUACCUAUGAACUGACAACUGUAUCUUCAGUAAUUACAAUUUCCAACAAAAUGUUAUAGGAAUAAAG